rnacentral:rRNA from 1 species
CUGGCUCAGGAUUAACGCUGGCGGCGUGCCUAACACAUGCAAGUCGAACGGACGUCUUCGGACGUCAGUGGCGAACGGGUGAGUAACGCGUAGGUAAUGUGCCUCUGCGCUGCGAAUAACAGCCUGAAAAGGCUGCUAAUACGGAAUGGUCCUCUCGGGGGGCAUCCCCCUUGAGGUAAAGAUUUAUCGCGCGGAGAUCAGCCUGCGUCCUAUUAGUUAGUUGCGGGGUAACGGCCCACCAAGACGACGAUGGGUAACUGGUCUGAGAGGAUGAACAGUCACACUGGAACUGAGAACGGUCCAGACUCCUACGGGAGGCAGCAGUGAGGAAUUUUGCGCAAUGGAGGGAACUCUGACGCCAGCAACGCCGCGUGAGUGAUGACGGCCUUCGGGUUGUAAAGCUCUGUCGAGAGGGACGAGUAGGGACGGUACCUCUCAAGAAAGCCCCGGCUAACUAUGUGCCAGCCGCCGC